AUUGAACGCUGGCGGCAUGCCUUACACAUGCAAGUCGAACGGCAGCGGACCUUCGGGUGCCGGCGAGUGGCGAACGGGUGAGUAAUAUAUCGGAACGUACCUUUCAGUGGGGGAUAACGUAGCGAAAGUUACGCUAAUACCGCAUAUUCUGUGAGCAGGAAAGCAGGGGAUCGCAAGACCUUGCGCUGAUUGAGCGGCCGAUAUCAGAUUAGCUAGUUGGUGAGGUAAAGGCUCACCAAGGCGACGAUCUGUAGCGGGUCUGAGAGGAUGAUCCGCCACACUGGAACUGAGACACGGUCCAGACUCCUACGGGAGGCAGCAGUGGGGAAUCUUAGACAAUAGGGCGCAAGACCUGAUCUAGCCAUGCCGCGUGAGCGAUGAAGG
rnacentral:rRNA from 1 species